UAUUUUUUUCCUUUACCUAUGUAAGUAUGUAUGCAGUAUUAUCUACCAUGUAGAUACAGCGUCUCUCGGCCUCUAGCGUAAACAUAGUUCCGGAUACUUAACUUAUAACCUCAAGAGGGAUUAAGAAUCAAUUAAUUCUUUUUAUCCACUAGGUACACUGAUACAUGUUUACUAUGCAUUUAUGCGAGCGCACUCACAAGUCACACCUUAGGGAGACAAUAUUACAAUAUGAACACAGUACAAUUCAGUAACAGCCUAACAGCAAGUCUUAUCGUAAGACUAAUAUCAACUUGGGAGCAUCAUUAUAUUUGUUUAACCAUAUCACAAGUGUGUGAAUAAUGCAAUAUUGUCGUCAGAUGUUUAUUUAUAGGAUUGAAGUCACUAUUGCUUCUCGCUGUUGGAUAUUGAGUACCUACGUAAUACGUGAUUGACAUCUAAUUUAGCAGUUUACAAACGUUUAUGCUGAUUUAUAAGGAUUAGCUAGUGACUGUACCUGCACAAGAAAUAUGCACGUGGGUGUGUAGGCGUAGCUUUAUGAUCGCGUUUUGUCUGUGAUCGUUUAUAAUUAUGUAUAUAUUUAACCUAAAUCAUCAUCUUUGGACAUUGUAAAUUCAAAAACUCUACGCAAGUUUAUUAUGUUUAAAAUCAGUAGUUCUUCUAUGUCUAUUCUAUUUUAUGUAAGAACCUAACCUAGGUUAUCGUUUCAGUAUAUCGCUUCUUUCAUAGUGAAUGAAUUAUUUCAUUCAAUUCAAUCUAAAACAUGCGGAAGAUAUCGUCAUUGGGUAUAAGAAUAAGAUUUAUUUUAUCACAUACAAUCAAUCAAUUUGCAUACCUACUGAUGAAAUCAUGCUAUGUACCUAAAUACCUAACUACUACAUACUUAGAUAUAUAAUAUUAAAAGUCAACUACAUAUUUGCAACUGCAAUUGCUUAUUGAUUCUCAAAUAGCGUGUCAACAUAGUAUGUUUUGCAAAAAUGGCCUUAACCAAUAAGUUAAUACAUUACAGCAACAAAUACGAGUACCUACCUAUGUGAACAUUACAAAAUGUAAAAAUAUUUCUGUAGGUCGAGCCUCGGUGAAGUCUUUAGAUUGUAACACAAAAACGCAGGACAUGAACUCUUAAAUCGGGACAAUUUAUUAAUCAUGUGGGUGAUUCCUUUGACUUGUAAUACUGUAUAGAGGUCGAAGUUAUGUAAUUCUGAUGCUAAGGUUCUUUGAAUAACCAAACAAUGAAACAAGAGAUCAUCUGCCUAACCAUCUCCCGAAUAUUUUGGAGUCUGGACUAUACUUAGAUUAUUUACAUGGAGCGACUGCCUAUCUGAUCUUCUCAUCCUAGUUACCCGGGCAAACUGAUACCCCUUGGUAAGACUAGUUGUCAGUAUUUCUGGUUCGUAACUUCACGUAAAGACUUAUAAAGAUGUAGAUACAAACCCAUACAGAGACGGGCCACUCUAAGCGAUGCUUAACCUUAUGAUCGAUUGACCCGUGCUGUGGGGUGCGAUUCACUAAGGUAAAACAUCUUUACAACCAAGAAAUCAUCGUUGUAACAUCAGAUGUAAAGUCGGCGGUAUUCAUUAGUUAAAAUUGAGCGAUCGUAGCGCCUCAACGAUGUUGACGGCGUGACAUAGAACUAACAUUUGGUGCCAAAUGUAUGAAAAUCGGUAUUCAGCAACACGAAACAUCCUCGCCUGCAACGACAACCUCGCCUUCGCCCUCGAUUUUAUCUGUCAAACCGAAAAGCUUGUAAAUUGUGGAUGUUUUCUUGGAUGAAGGCGAUUAAAAUAUGGCAGUUCGUCUUUCCUGUAUGAUUUUUUUGUUGGAGGAAACUAAACAUCAAGAUAAUUAAAUAAAUAAAAAGUCAGGUCUCCGUGAUACGUAAUAUGGAUUUACUAACUACUGAUAGAAACUAUAUUAUGGUUGACUGAAGAACAGAUUAGACAGUUGAAAGAAGAUUUCUCCUUUCCUAACAAAGGCGAAUCGUUAAGGAGGAAUUAGCAACCACACCAAUAUAUUACACUUAAACAAUAUAAUAUAAAUCAUCAUACAGUACAGUGGAUAGGUGCCUAAAACUUACUGUCCAUCAACCUUUUGUAUGUACUGUCAAUUUUUUGGUUAGUGGGAUUUAUGUACCAAAUAAUGCUAUGUGAAAUUGCAAGAACAAUGUCUCACGGGCAUCUGC